rnacentral:rRNA from 1 species
GACGAACGCUGGCGGCGUGGAUUAGGCAUGCAAGUCGAACGGUAUCAUCCUUUCGGGGGUGAGAGAGUGGCGAACUGGUGAGUAACACGUAGGUUAUCUACCCUCAAGACGGGGACAACCCAGGGAAACUUGGGCUAAUACCGGAUGUGAGCAACUUUUAGUUGUUUGAAAGGUGGCGUAAGCUGUCGCUUGGGGAUGAGCCUGCGUCCUAUUAGUUAGUUGGUGAGGUAACGGCUCACCUAGGCAAUGAUAGGUAGGCGGCCUUAACGGGUGGUCGCCCACACUGGGAUUGAGAUACGGCCCAGACUCCUACGGGAGGCAGCAGUCGAGAAUAGUCUACAAUGGUCGAAAGACUGAUAGUGCGACGCCGCGUGAACGAAGAAGCCCUUCGGGGUGUAAAGUUCUUUUAUAUGUGAGCAGUGCUUUCUAUGUGAACAGCAUGGGGAGAGAGAUAUUAGCAUAUGAAUAAGCAACGGCUAACUCCGUGCCAGCAGCCGCGGUAAA